rnacentral:lncRNA from 1 species
AGGAGGCGGAAGAAGAGGGAGGGUGAUAGUUUGAAGGCUUCCCAGUCUAAACGCGAAUGCCCCUGCAGAUGAUGGCCACCUGGUGCCCCAAAGCCCUAAGAUCGUGUCUCUUGAGCACCUCCACUGUUGCACUAGCGCGGGAGCUGCCUGCACCUGUGUCUCUUCAUCUCGGGGGUCGGCAUCCGGACAAAGCGGUGGAUGUUACCGACCCCAUCUCACACGCAAAGACCGGGCCACUGAGAGAGGUACCAGGAGCUGUCCCGAGAUUCAGCCAGCAGACACUGGAGCCAGGAUGAGAAGCCCCCGCCCCAGUGCGCCCCUCCGGCUGCCUCCCUGGAAGAGGGCUGUGGGGAGCGGGGCUCUGAGGAAGGAAGGCCUGGCUGCUGGUGUCUGUCUGUCCCUUCCUAGAAUCCUCUCCUCCUCCUCCAGUCCCAUUCCUCUGCUUUCCAGUGCUGAGUCUGGGGUGAAUGAAUGCAUCCCCCACAUCCACCUCCAGAUGGUGAUGGGUCUGGCUGGCCUGAGACCUUGCUAGCCGCUUGGCACUCAGCUCGCCACAAACACGUCCCUGGAGAUAUUCCUGCAGUGGCUGCACCCCAAGAAACACUCGGCUCUGGACAGAAAUCAGGUUUAUAGAUUUGGCUCAGAAAUCACUGUGAAGCUUGACUCGCUGUACAGAGUUGGCCACUCUGCUGAGCGUGGGACCCCAAGAGCAGCACAGCGUGUCCUGCCAGCCACCUGUGGCACCCCCGUCUGUUUGCUUCACCUGCCCUGCGUCUGCUCUUCAGGUCUCCAAGCGCAAACCAGAGGGCUGCUGGGCGCAAGGCUGCAUCUGUGAAGGCUGCUGGGAGCUUGUCUGGGAAUUCAGGUGAAUUUAAGUCAAGACCCUCCCAAGAAGCCCCGGGACACAGCGCUGAAGGGACUUCUGGUCAAGGAGGGUCUCCCUGGGUCCAAUUCCUGAGCCCGAUCUCAGCUCAGCUUCUUUGACUUUCUCCGAUGGCCCUGGGACAGCUGAGUUCUGUACGGUGGAGUUGAACCUUCGAUAUUCUUCCCCUGGAGGUUUGGAAGAGCCUGUUCUGCAGGAUUAAGGGAAGUGGGGCCCUUCUCUGCAAGGGUCUUUGCCGGGAGAGCCACUGUCACACGCAAAGCCAUCUUGCUUCCGAUCAGGAUGCUCAGCUCUUACCUUAUACUUUACCAGCCAAAGCCAAGACCUCAGGCGGCUGCGUAAGCUACAAACAUUGGCCAAAGCUCCUGCCUGGCCUCGGGAAGAGGUUUGCUGCAGGAUGGCCAUGACAAUGGUAAAUUGCAGAAAGAGGCCUGGCGUUCUCUUUUGCACAGCAUUUCUUGUAUCUGGGUGGAGCUGCUUCUUGGCGGAUAUGUUUUCGUAUCCUGGCUGCUCUGAAUGUGCUGGGUCAUGUUCAGAAAAGCCACCUUCUCAGGUGGGAAAAUCAGGCACUGAACUUGUUUGGGGAAGCCCAGAUUUUGCCAGGGCUGGUCCCUUGGACUUGUAGAAUGGGCUGUCUCUGAUUCUGGAGAUAACAGUGGGUUGUGAGGGUGAAGGAGCUUGUCUGGCACUAUGCCUGGGUCUGGGCUUAGCUGUUCCCCUUAUCUGGUGUGUGUGUCUAUGUAUGUGGCCAUCGGGCUGGGUGGGUAAGUGUGGCUGACUCAGGAUCUGGUUUUCUCAGCAUCCACCAUAGCCCUUGGCCCUAGGGGCCCAUGAGCAUGGGCUUGGUUCCACUACAACCUCUGUGUUCUCUCUCUCUCUCUCUCUUUUUCUUUUUGUAUUUUUAUGGCUGCACCUGCUACAUAUGGAAGUUCCCAGGCUAGGGGUCAAAUGGGAGCUGCAGCUGCUGGCCUACACCACAGCCACAGCAAUGCCAGAUCUGAGCCUCAUCUGCAACCUACACCACAGCUCUUGGCAAUGCCAGAUCCUUAAUCCACUGAGUGAGGCCAGGGAUCGAACCUAUGUCCUCAUGGAUACUAGUCAGGUUUGUUUCCACUGAGCCACAACGGGAACUCCACUAGUUGGGUUCUUAACCCCCUGAGCCACAAUAGGAACUCCCCAACCUGAGUUUUAAAAUGGGACUGGAGGGGAGCCAGGCUGGUGGGGCAUCCAGAGGAAGUGAUGCUGAUGGCAGAUGCUAUUUGCCAGGCCCUGAGAUAAGGGCUUUACAGGUGUUACACCCUUCAGGGCUCACAACCACUCCUCGGGGAGGUGGCUGCCGACGUCCCUGCUUUCCAGAUGAGGACACAGAGGCAGAGGGGUGUGGCAACGCGCUCGAGCUCACAUAACUGAAAAGCAGCAGAAACAGGAAGUGAACCAAAGCUCUUGGGGGCACUGGGCCGUGUGGUCACACCCAGCACUGUGCCCCCCGGGCCAUCAGCUGGCCAGAGGGUUGCAAUCCGUGUACAGAUGGAGGCAGGUGCCCUCUGCCUGGGCUCGGGCUGCGUGCCUGGCCCUUCCUCAGUUUUCCCACCACGCAUGCCCCCCCUCCAGUCUCCACCACCUCUGCUGGACUGCAGAAACCGGGGCUCCGGAGCACCAGCCCCUCCACUUUGGGGCUUGAUUGCCAGCUCCUCUGAGCUCCUCAAGAGCAAGACUCCCGCCUGGGCCUCACACCCACCCUCGCUGCCAUGUCCCCUCUGCCAGCCGGGCCCACACGUGCCCCUGCGUACCCAAGUUCCCUAUCUUCCAAAGCAUCGUGAAAACCCCUUCCGUUCACACCCAACUUCCGCUUCCUUUGCUGUUCAGCCCCACAGGAGAGUUUUCCAUAUUUGUUCUCUGAAAUGUGUCUCCUGUUCUAUCCCAAAGCCCCUUCUCAUCAGACUCGAAAGCCUGACUCCGUCCGAUGGUUCUUACCGAGGCCGCUGCUGAUCUGUGAUGCUGGGUCUGUGGUCUGGUCUCCCGUCUCAUCUUGCUGUCCCAACAGCUGGCCUCGCCCGCUUGCCUCCAGGACACUUGAUGCUCUCGGGUCUCCCGCUCACUGGCCACUUCUUUGCUUGUUCCACCUCUUGGCUCUGCCUCCUCUGGGGUGCCUGGUGCUCAGCCUCCACCUCCUACAUCCCUGGCUGUCCUCGGGGGGUCUCGUCCAGCCCCUCGGUUUAAAAUACCCUCUCUGGUCCUUAGGAUGCCCAUUGGUCUCCAGCCCAGAACUCUCUCUUGCUCCUCGGUAUCAUAGAUUUCAUGGCCUCCUUGACGUCCCGGGGUGAGCGAAUCCAAAAGUAAACUGGUGAUGAACCCUGCCCCCCUCCCCCCCGGAAUCUAAGCCACCUGCAGCCUCAGCCCCCUGGGGAAUGGCCGCUCCACCCUUCAGUGGCUCAGGUCAGACACUCUGGAGCCAUCUGUACCUGCUCUCUCAGCCACUGUGUCUGGAGAGCCCACUGGCUCUGCCUUCCAUUUGUAUCCGGAAGCCGAACGCUUCCUCCCACCUGCGCUGCGGCCCCCAUCCAAGCCCCCAUCACCUCGCACCUGCGUUCCUGCCGUAGCUUCCACCUGGUCUCCGGGCCUCCAUCACUACCUCCCUUGGUCUGUUCCCACGCAGCAUCCAGACUGCCCUUUUGAAAACACAGACAGAGCAUCCCCCUUCCUUGCUCUGAACCCUCUGGUGGCAUCCCACCUCCGAGGAAAAGCCACAUCUUCAAUAUCCCUGUCUGCCUCUGAUUCCCUGACAUCCCUUCACGCCUCCCCGCGCUCUCGCUGGCCUCCCUGAAAGGCCAUAUGAUCCUGCUGCACUGGCUUCCUUGCUCUUCCUGGAACAUCCCAGGCACACCCGGCCUCCUCAGGGCCUUUGCACAGGCUGUUCCUUCUGCCAAGGUCACCCUUUCCCAGGGCAGUCUCAGGGCCCAGUUCCUGGCCUCCUUCACAUCUUUGGUCAAUUAGCUCCUUUUUUUCUUUUUUGUUGGCUGCAACAUGCAGCAGCAACGUGUGGGAUCUCCGUUCCCAGACCAGGGACUGAGCCUGGGCUGCAGAGGUGAAAAUGCCGCGUCCUAAACACUAGAGCACCAGGAUGCUCUCAGUUGUCUCCUUAAGGAGACACACCCUGAUCACCUGCUAUGGAAAAUGCAGCUCACCCCACCCAGUGGGCCCCCACUGCCUGGUUAUGUUUUUCCCAUCGCACUCAUCCACUUCUAGCAGAGUAGACAAUAUCUAUUUAUUAUAAUAUUUCUGUUUUGUGUAUUGUUUACAGUUCAUCCCACUUGAACGAAAGCUUUGUGCAGGAAAGGGUCCUGGUUUUCUUCACUGAGGAACCUCGGACUCUUGGCACAGUUCCUGGCACAGAGUCGCUGCUCAAAGAUAUGGGUUGAAUGGCAGUGAAAUGACCUUUAGAAGGAGGUUUUGAGGGAAAGAGAUGAGCCUCAACUGAGGGGUGAAGGAUUUCUAGAACGUACCCAACAUUAUGGUUCCAACAUAGAGUUCCUCUAUGAGUCUGUGAAUGGGGUGCUGACAUCCUGUGUUUACUGGAAAACCUGGGACCUGGAAGCCUCGAAAUGCUAUAUGGCGGCCCUACUUGACCACAUGUCCCCUUUUGCUAGAAUGGAGAAACACCUACACUCAGAAGUGGAUAAAGCCCUGUGAUGUCCCCAGCCCCCACCAGCCAGCCUUAGCUCCUCUACAACCUCCUUCCUCUGUUUUCAUGAUUAUAGAAAUUCACCUCUUUUCUUCAACUGUAUCCGCCUUUUCGUGCUGCGGGAAUGACAGCAAUAAACCCAGGUGUCAGGAAAUCUACCUGGGAUUAUUAAAAUAACAUCAGUUCCGCUGUCUUCUGUAUCUAAGUAACUACAUAAGGCACAUGCUUCAGACACUCAAAACCACACUACACCAACAUUUGAGGUUAUUUUUAUUUUUUGUCUUUUUGCUAUUUCUUGGGCCACUCCUGCGGCAUAUAGAGGUUCCCAGGCUAGGGGUCUAAUCGGGGCUGUAGCCACCGGCCUACGCCAGAGCCACAGCAACGCGGGAUCCGAGCCGCGUCUGCAACCUACACCACAGCUCACAGCAACGCCGGAUCGUCAACCCACUGAGCAAGGGCAGGGACCGAACCCGAAACCUCAUGGUUCCUAGUCGGAUUCGUUAACCACUGCGCCACGACGGGAACUCCCUGAGGUUAUUUUUAAAAACUAGACCUACAAAGCAGCGGCAGCUGUGCAGGUGAAUUCUGAACUUCGGGGCCACUGCUGGUGCCCCAGGAUCUGGGCUGCCCAAGUGCAAGGAAUGUGGGUGGUCCUUGGUCACCCAGGAAGGGUGUCACCUUCUGAGGCUGUUUUGACCCCACUGAAGGGAUUUAGUUGCUGAAAACCUGGCCUUGGUUUAGGAGGCAGCUUUGCUGAUAAGUCUGUUGCAUAGAUUUCAAGGACGAUGUCUGGUAACAGAAGAGCCAAGUGUAAUUGCCUGUAUCUUCGUCAAACUAAGAAACUACGCAUACAAUGGUAUGGAAUAAACCCCUCGAAUAU